rnacentral:misc_RNA from 1 species
AUUUCCUCCUUCCAGUCCCUGUCUGCAUUCAUGUGGAGGUGCAUAAUCCGAAUCCGUCAUCUACCACAUGAUCAAAUAACAAGCUGCAGGCUGGCUUGCAAUAAUAGAUCGAGAUUGAACCCACCUCUGUCUCCAAACUACUUUGGGAACUGUAUUAACGCUCUUAGAGCUUCAACCACAGCAGGUGAACUGCUAGAGCACAAUCUUGGUUGGGCAGCAUGGAUAGUCCACGAGGCUGUUGUUAAUCAAGGGGAUCAGGAGAUCAGGGAGCGUCUUGACUCGUGGAUUAAAUCGCCCUCUCUUUAUCAUAUAGGUCAGAUGUUUGAUCCCUAUAGUGUGAUGAUGGGGAGUUCACCGAGGUUCAACAAGUAUGGAUGUGAAUUUGGAAUGGGGAAAGCUUUGACACUUCGAAGUGGGUAUGCACACAAAUUCAGUGGGAAAGUGUCAGCCUACCCGGGACGUGAAGGUGGGGGAAGUGUGGAUUUGGAGGUUUGCCUUCCCCCAGAUUCAAUGAUUGCUCUAGAGUCUGAUGAAGAAUUCAUGGAUGCCAUGGCUUAGCAACACAGCUGGUUGCUGGGGGUCACUCGUCACAAAACAAUGUUUCUUCCUCUCUUCGUGUAUUCUUAUCCACUCCUCAUCUAUCC